UAAAGCCGAUUCCGUCAUUAUGCUGGGAGUCGGGCCCUGGUUUUCUAACACCUUACUUGUUUUAUUUCCUAUAUUCCAGGCAAGUCAGAACGACCACCCUGCUAAGAUGUCUAGGUCUUGGGAGGGGCCAUAGGAACAGAUGUACUUGUCCCAUCAGUGAACUGAGAUGAAUUAAGUCUGACACUCAGUUUUUGACCAGCAGACUAUGAGGGCACAAAAAGGAAUAUGGAUUCCAGGAAAGAGACCUCCACAGCACACCCCCACACCCAUGCCCCAAACCUUCUUCCUCCCAACACAUACCUGGACAAAUCCAAACGGGAAGAAACGCUCUGUCUGCCCCUGGGAGCCACGGUGGAAGGUCUGGCGCCAGUCUUCAAUGAGCGCAGGGAACGUGCAAUUAUACAGGUCCCUGUUAAAAUUCACGUUGGACUCCCCUAAAAACAGUCCAGAUUGUGAGAGGGGCUUGGGGUGGAUGCAAACACGGCCGCACGUUUCUCCCCAACCGCCAUCCAUGCCCUUAGGGAGUGGGCCUUCCUGCAGUCUCUCUGGACUGGCCUUGAGACUUGCUCUGGCCAAAGGGGCCUCAGCAAAUGGGAUGCAAGCAGAGGCUUGAAAAGUGCUUCAGCUUUGGGCUUCACUCAGACACUGCUGAGUGAAUGCUAUGAGACUGAGACUGAGACUGCUAUGUCAAUGAUAAAGAAGUCUGAACUAAUUUGCUCAAGGCUGAGAGACCACUUGAGACCAUGGUGCCCCAGCAGUCAACAAACAGGAGGAAGAGGCCAUCCUAGGUCAUCCAGCCACCAGACACCUGCCAAGUGGCCAAAGACACAUCAGCGAUCCCAAGAGAAAUUAACCAAAGCAGUCUAUACAGGAAAACUACCCUAAUAACCCACUGAAUGGUGAGCCAAAUAAAAUUAUUAUUGUUUUAAGUCA